AUAAUAAUACACUAAUUAGACUUAAGGACAAAUCUACUUAAAUUGGAAUGCAUGCCUCAUAAUAAAUUUCCUUUUCUCACUUCACUUAUCUUUAAGAAAUUUCUUAAGCUCAUAUAUUAUUUGAUGCGUCUUCAUCUACUAUUUUCGGGCUUCGACUAAAUUAGAUCUAUGUAUCUUUUUACUUUGAAAAAAAAUUUACUCUUAAGUAAAACUCUAAAAUAAAUUGAAAGAUCAAUUAUUUUAGUUUAAUUGCAUCAUUUGAAGAAAUCAUAAAACAAUAAUUAUUAAUAUAAACAUUAAUGAAAUCUUAUUUUAAAACUUAGGCUAAAAUUUAAUAUUAAAUUCCUCCAAAAUAAGUUAUAAUCUCGAAAUUGGGUCAAGACUUGCUUUUAUUUUCAGCCUAGGUAAUUAAAUCUCGGAAUUGGGCUCUUUGAUACAUUUGCUGCAGCCCCAAAAUAUUAGAGUUGGGCUCAGAUCAUUUACUCCACUCCUUAGCCCAAGCAAAAUAUUAGUCCAAGAACAAUUAAAUUAAAAACAACCCACAUAUGAAUACCCAUUCCUCAUCUUCCUCACCAUUUUCCCCAAUUAAGAAGAUGAGAGAGAAGCUCCCACUUCUCACUACCUGCUACUGACGCUGCCACCCACCCUCCAGCGCCGCCGUCCGCCGCUGCUGUACGCGCCACGGCUCGCCGUCGCAGCCCUUCGUCUCUCUCUCUCUCGAUUUCCACCGCCUCACAUCACCGCUGCUCCACCGCCCCAGCCCCCUUCUCUCCUGAAUCUGCCGCCGCCGUCCCUUCUUUCUCUCCAGCUUCGCCGCCGCUCGCCAGCGCCGCCGCUCCGUCGGACUCCCGGAAGGUUGUGAAAUUAGUGACGUAUCGGAGUGGGGGCUGUCCUUGGUUGUCUCCGGGCUGCCGAAGAGCCGUCACCGGAAAUCCGGCAGAUUCAUGUUCAAGAUAAGAUUCUCAAUUUAUGCUUACCUUGGUUGUAGGACUUAGUUGUCUAUUUUAUAAAUUUGGUGAAUUCUGGACAAUUGUGUGUCUUCUUGGAAGACUUAAUGGUGAAACAAGUAAUUCUUGGUGUUUAUUGUUAGCAUCUGGGCAUAUUCUACUUCCAACUACAUAUAUGCAUGCUUCGUACAUAAAUGUAAAGGAAAAGAAGGGUUUGGGAUUCACCUUUUUGAUGUGGAAUAAAGGGUUGUUCGAUUGUAGUGUUUGACUCUACGAUUGUGUGAAAUUCUCCUUCCUCGACUCCUCUAUCCUCUAUCCACGUUGGGUGUGUAGAGAGAAUAUAGAUGGUGAUGGGGUGAGUGAAAGAAGGUGAUAUGCCUAAAUGGUUAGGCCUACUUAAGGAUUAAGGAUGACAAGUGGCGUGGGCAGCAAGUUGCUAACAUUCCUAUCUCUAAUUAAAUGUAGCAUUAAAUGCUCUGUUGAAAAUAAACGAUCCACUGGAUCUGUUCUCUCUCUCUCUUUUUUUAUAUUUUAUUUGUUUAUUAAAGUAAUUGUUAUAGUAUUUGUUCACUUCUUCAUUUAAUUUGGUGUAGGUAUAAUCGGUUCAAGUUUAAGGCUGUCCGCGUUGAAGUUCCCGAUUUGCUUAAAACACAUGAUGUAUAGAUUAAAUUAAGUUUUGUUGGACUUUUAUCGGAUGUAUCGGACAUUAUAAUUUUGAUUUUGGAAUCUUAUUUAUUUAUUUAAAUUUAUUAUAUUCA